rnacentral:lncRNA from 10 species
GCCAUCUUGGGGAAGGCUGACGCUUAAUGCUUAUUAUGGGCCACUUUACAUAUUUCAGCUCUUAAGAACGUGAACUCCUGGGCCGGGCGCGGUGGCUCACGCCUGUAAUCCCAGCACUUUGGGAGGCUGAGGCGGGUGGAUCAGGAGGUCAGGAGUUUGAGACCAGCCUGACCAACAUGGUGAAACCCCGUCUCUGCUGAAAAUACAAGAAAAAAAAAAAAUUAGCCGAGCGUGGUGGUGCGCGCCUGUAUUCCCAGCUACUCAGGAGGCUGAGGCAGAAGAAUCGCUUGAACCUGGGAGGUGGAGGUUGCAGUGAGUCGAGAUCAAAAAAAAAAAAAACAAAGAACACGUGAACUCGAAAGCUGACUUUCUGGGUUGGAAUCGCUCUUCACGGCUUACUGCUUGUGUGACCUUGGGCAAGUUACUUAACUUCCGUGUGCCUCAGUUUCCAAAGGGGGAUAUAAUUUUAUUUACCUAAUGGGUCUUAGUGAGGAUUAGAUGAGUUAAAUGAGCUAGUCUUGAUAAAAAUGUUAAUGAUUAUGGUAGACAGACCAAUCACCCUCACCCCGACUCCCAGAUGUCUACCUUCUAAUCCCCAGAAUCUGGGUAUAUGGUGACCUUUAUAUAGCAAAAGAGAAUUGGCAGAGAUGAUGAAAUUAAAGCGAUUGAGAUGGGGAGCUAGCCUGGAUUGUGCAGGUGGGUCCCCUAUCAUCAAAACCAUCCUUAUAAGGGGUAGACAGGAUGGCCAGAGUCAGACAGAGAUCAGAGAUGCUUUGAAGAGGGAGAGUGGGACCACAUGCCUAGGUAUGCAGGAGGCCGCUAGAAAAAGCAAAGAAAUGAGCCCUCCUCCAGAGUCUCCAGAAGGAAUGCAGCAUUGCUGACACGGUGAUUUUAGUCUUGUAACACUCAUCUCAAACUUCUGACUUCCAGAACUCUACCAGAAUACGUUUGUGUUGUUUUAAGCCACCAAACUUGUGGCAAUUUGUUACAGCAGCAAGACGAAAGUGAUCAUAAUGAUUGUAACAGUGGCAUUUAGUAUAUGUGGGGCAUGUGUAUGACUCUUUGCAUAGAUUAUAUUAUAUAAUCCUUGCAAGAAUCCUAGAAGCGGACCUAUUAUCCACCAUAUUAGAGAGAAGAAAAAUGAGACUCAUCACAUCCUCAUCUCAUCUGUCUUUAUGGAGAAAAUGGGAAAAGGGAAAAGGAGAGGGGAAUUGAGGCAGUUGACUGUGUUCAGUCUUAUUUAUUUAUUUUCAUUUGUUUAUUUCUCCAAGUCCGCCAGUCUCUGAAAUUAGAACAGUAAGCAAUAUGAGAUAAUCGGGCCUAAUAAUGUUGUGAUUCUCUUUUCUUAAUGGAGUGGAAUGUUCUGUCCCCACAAGAAGGAUUAUACCUUAUAGACUUGUCUUGUUCAGAUUCUGUAUUUACCCAUUUUACUGAAACACAUACUAAAUUCCAUGUGUUUUUGUUACAAAUCUUCUGAAAGAAAAUGUGAAACAUUAAAAGGUAUUAAUAAUAAUUUUUUUUAAAAGGAAAAAAAAUGAGGCUCAGUUGCUUAAAUGGCAUGCCAGGGGUCAUUUCCCAGCUAGCAAGUGAAGGAGCCUUCAGUUAAAAAAUAACUCAAAGACAUUGAGUUAAUUAUUGGCGUGUUAUUUACUUGUAACUAGUGGAACCAGUAUAGACUGACUUCAUCUCAGAAAGCGAGGAAAGGAUUUAUAUAGAAGAAACACAGCUUCUAAACUAUGAAUGUUGGUUUUUUUGCCUAGCUGGACCCUGGCAAUGAAGCCAGUGAGUGUUCUGAUCCUGGAAAGCUAGAAAGAAAGUAAUUCUAGUUGCACGUGAAUGUCCCUGAAGACCAUGAGAAUUUAGCUUCCUCUGCACGAUGCCUGUCAGGGUCCUUGGUUGUCAUCUCCAUCUUAGCGAUGCAGUCUUUUAGGUGCUUUAAAUAAAGGGGGAGAGAGGAAAUCUUCUGAAGCAGAUGACAAUUAUUUCCCCCAAGCACAGCCACCAAGCCAUGCUCUUAUUUUGAAUGAUCUGCGUCAUUUUCCAACAUGAAGCCUCAGAAGGACAUGAUUACAGGCUGGACUCACCGACUGUAGCCUGUGCAGCUAUUGUAAUGUUUUAAUCAGUGAUUAAGUCAAGAGGUUUAAUUUAGUACCGGGCUCCGUUAAGCUUGUGAAAAUGGUUUUCUGCCUCCUCAAACUAAAAAUGUGUCUCUCCCCCAUGUGUCCAGCCCGAAGCAUCUUAACCUUUGUUCUAUCUUCAACACCGCUGGCUCUAACAAAUUACUCAGCAGUGAAUGAAUUAGCUGAGUCCAAUGUGUGAAAAAAGAUUAGGCUGGACCUAGGAAAAUUAGCUUCUAAGCACAGCACAGGAUGAGGCAUAAAGAUACCUGGACUCGUGCCCUGCAUGACAAAGAAGCUAAGCUUCAUUAGCGUCAGUCAUGACAUCCGUCAUUGGCAUUAUCUCAUUGAAUCCCUGCGACAACCUCAGGGGCAGAUGCUAUUAUUAUUCGCAUUUUGUAGAUGAAGAAAACUGAGACCCAGAGAAGGUAAAUAACUUGUCCAUGGUCACACAGGCAGUCUUGGUCCCAGGAUUUGAGUUGAGGCAGCCUAGCUCUGGGAUCCCCACACUGUCCUUCCUCCCUCGCUGGAUCUGAGACUACGUUAGCUUUGCAUUCAUUCAUUGAUUAACUCUGUUGGGGAAAGGGGACAUUUUAGGGAGCUACCCCAGAAUAGUUCUGCAGGAGGGACCUGUCUUUAGGUCAUUGCAAGCAGAGAUGACUAAGGAGGUGAGUGCCAGGAGUCCUGACCAUGCAAGCUAGAACUGGACAAGCAUCAUUUGGUAUCACGGAGAGCCCAGCCGAGCUUGCAAAUCUGGAGUAACAGGAUGGCCUAUGGGGCUUUUUCUGCAGCCUGGGGAAUUGGUGCCUGAGGCCAUGGCUAAAAAAAAAAAUGAGAGUUGCUAAAAACUACAGCCUCAAACUCUUAAUGGGGGCCCAAGUGCUGCCCCCCAGCUUCAACCCAAUGGCUUACUAUGAACAGGAGAAGAUGCUUUAUAGUGCUCAAAUCCACCCGACCCCACUGGAUUUAGAGAGGCAGCAGGGAAGUGGUAGAGGGAGCUGUCCACAUUAUGAGAUGUUGGCCUCAUAGAGAGGGACGGGAGGGACAUUUCUCUAAACUCCUAAAGCCAAGUGAGGGGCUCCAAAGAUGAGGAACAGAGUUCAAAUCAGAGAUCUGGCAAUGUCAUGGUGGGGAGUCUUGAAGGUGACCCAGCUGAACCCAAGAAGUAGGAAAAAGCAGAGAAAAGCCACAGCAAGAAGUAGGGAAAAGCAGAGAAAUGCCACAGUAAGAAGUAGAGAAAGCAGAGAAACAUCACAACUAGAAGCAGCCCAGGUCCCCGACCCUUCUUGUUGGCCCUGCGUUAGUUUCCUAGGGCCACCAUAACAAAAUGUCACAGACUAGAUGGCUUGAAACAAUAGAAAUUUAUUGUCUCACAGUUCCAGAGACUGGAAGCCCUAAAUCAAGGCAUCGCAAGGCCAGGUUCCCUCUGAAACCUGUAGGGGGAAUCCUUCCUUUCCUCCUCCCAGCCCCUGAUAGUGAGUGGCAGUCCUU